rnacentral:rRNA from 1 species
UGGGGAAUUUUGGACAAUGGGCGAAAGCCUGAUCCAGCAAUGCCGCGUGUGUGAAGAAGGCCUUCGGGUUGUAAAGCACUUUUGUCCGGAAAGAAAUCCUUGGCUCUAAUACAGUCGGGGGAUGACGGUACCGGAAGAAUAAGCACCGGCUAACUACGUGCCAGCAGCCGCGGUAAUACGUAGGGUGCAAGCGUUAAUCGGAAUUACUGGGCGUAAAGCGUGCGCAGGCGGUUUGCUAAGGCCGAUGUGAAAUCCCCGGGCUCAACCUGGGAACUGCAUUGGUGACUGGCAGGCUAGAGUAUGGCAGAGGGGGGUAGAAUUCCACGUGUAGCAGUGAAAUGCGUAGAGAUGUGGAGGAAUACCGAUGGCGAAGGCAGCCCCCUGGGCCAAUACUGACGCUCAUGCACGAAAGCGUGGGGAGC